rnacentral:lncRNA from 1 species
AAACCUAAAAUAAAGAUGAAAAACAGAAGAAACAUAAAAUGACACCAAGGCAUAUUAUAAUCAAAUUGCUUAAAACCAACGAUAAAGAGAAAAUCUGAAAAGCAGCCAGACAGAAAAAACACAUUAUACAGAGGAAAAGAUUCAUAAACUGAAGACCGAUAGCAAAAUGAUGUUCAGUUAAGCAAAUUCAACAUGUCUGAACCUUCAUAAAUUCGCCCCCAGUGAUGCUGUCCUGCAGUGUGAUCCUGGCCUCGGGAGACGUCUGUCCCCAGCAGAGCUAAUCACCUUUACUCUUUGGGUGAAAUUGAAACUGAUAAUAUUUUGAUGUCAACGCAUCUCAUUCAAGAGCUGAGCUGUGAAAUCCUACGAAGCCAUGGCAGGGUGUAGCUUUCUGAGGUUAUCCAAUCCUAUCUGGUGACCGAUCCAGGAAAAGAGGAAAUGAAGCUGGCCCUCCUGUGUGGCUUGGGGAGAACCUAGAUAGAGCCUCAGAUCCUGGGCAUCGAUAUUCCACAUGGAUCCUGUUUGUACCUCUUGUAUUCACACCGGGGAAACUGCAAAGGGAAGACUGCUAAGUAAUGUAAGGGGGCCCGUGCCUGCACAAAUUCUUCCUAGCAGGCACACUGGGGGCCUUAGCAGCGUAUGUGUUGUGAGCGAGUAACACUUUGCAUCCGCAACGGACUUCAUGCCUUUCAGACAAUCUGCCAGACCAGUCCUAAUGGCAACCUUUUAAAAAAGGAUGACAAGUCCUUCUAGCAGGCUGUCACAUGUUGCCAGAUUAAAACAUUGUGUAAUUAUUUACAGGAGACGGUGGGGUGUCAGAUCAUUUGGCUGGAAAGACCAUGUUUCCAAAUAAAUUUGAGAGAUAGCUACAGCUGCUCUAAAACAGAGCAAAAUAUAUGGCAACAAAAGGAAGAAGAACACAUUAUUGAGGCAAAUCAUGCAAUUAAGUAUCCACUCUUUGUCAUAGGGCAUUUUGGCUGUCCCUGCUUCUCCAGGCAAGCUUUUGGAAUAUUCUGAAUAAGAGCUGGAGAGUCAAAGAAAGAGAAAACAAAGCCCCUUUCUAUCUCCCAUACUUUUCCUUCCUGCAGGAAAAGGGACACAGUACCAUGCAGUUGAACACCAUGUCAAGUGAGGAUAAAGGAAAACAGCCAUGACAUCACUCCAUUACUGCCACCCCCAGUGUGCCUCACAGGCCCUGCAAUUUAUAAUCUUGUUUAAUCCUCCAAGCAACCGAGGAAUACAGAUAUCAUCGCCCCUGCUGUACAGAUAAGGAAGCAGAGGCUCAUUGGGGUCCAGGAGCAUGCCUGUGGACAAAUAGCUCCUAAAUGACAUUGAGUUUUAAACCCAAUCUCCAAAAAGCCUGUAUGUUUUGAGCGCCUAUGAUGUGUCAUCAGACAGUGAGGCAGGUACUUGGGAUACAAUCAGAUAAAUGGCAGAGAACCUAUCCAAGAAGCCCACAAGCUGGAAGCGAAUACAAGAAACGCCAUCACUCAUAGCCAUGACAAUUACUGAGUGCCUGUCACAUGCCUGGCAUUGUUCCCAUUCAUGACUUCAGUUCAGCCUCCCACCAGCCCACUGACCAAGGCACUAUUUUCCAUGAUGUCUUCACUUUCUGACUUUAAAACCCAGACUCUUCACCAUUAGAUCAUGUGCCUGAGAUCAAUGGCAAGAGAUGAAAGCCUGGCCAAAGCACUGUGUUAAUAAAGUAGGCUGAUUAUACAGUUUACUACAAGUAGAAGGAAUUGCCACAAACUGGUACUUCUGGAGCAGUGUUCAGGAAGAAGGCAGGAACUGCAGCUGAAUCUAGUAAUAAGACACGAUGAUGAUGAUGAUGAUGACAGCAAUGACAACAGCAACAACAAAAAUAGAGGCUGGGUGUGGUGGCUCAUGCUUGUAAUUCCAGCACUCUGGGAGGCAGAGGCAGGAGGAUCGCUUGAGCCCAGGAGUCUGAGACCAGUCUGGGCAACACGGCAAGACCCCAUCCCUACAAAAAAUUUUAAAAUUAGCUGGACAUGGUGGCAUGUAUCUGCAGUCCCAGCUACUCAGGGGGCUAGGGUAGCAGGAUCACUUGAGCCCAAGAAGUAGAGGCUACAGUGAGGUAUGAUCACACCACUGCACUCCAGCUUGGGCAACAGACGAAGACUCU